rnacentral:tRNA from 1 species
UUCGAAUAGGUUAAAUUAAAACAAUUUUUUAUGAAAAAAUAGUAAGCUACUUUUAGCUAUUUGAAU